GAACUUCAGCUGUGUUAACUCUUUCCUCUUCCGGUGAGUGCUGUGAAGUUUGGGUAGUUUGCGGUUAGCCCCGCAAGUUAGCAUACCGUCGUGGUGUGUUAGCCGCCGAGCUAAAGUGUUAGCUCAUGGUGUUGUUAACGUUCUGUGACAAAAGAGAAAAGCGUGUGCAUGUGUGUGUGUGUAAAAAAUAAUGUGUGCCUGUUAAUUACAUUGAAAGAGACAUCAGUAAGUGUCAUGGGUUAUGAGACUGCUUAAUCCUUCUGUGUAGUACAGUGCUGUUGCUCACAGGCUCAGGAUAUCACAAGAUUACCUUAUUUUACUUACCUUAAGUAGUUCAAUAAUCAUUUACGUGUGGAUUUUUGAUUGUUUACCAGUCAUUUAAUGGAAAACAGUGAAGCUGAUAUUUCAUUUGCUAACACUGUAAUGCAGCAGUUAUCUUGAAAUAAGUUAACUGAGAAAAGUUACAUUACACAUUUAAAUUGAUUAAAUUUGGGAACUACUAUCUAUACAGUUAAAAGAGAAGUGAAUUGAUUUAACUAAGCUCUGUUUUGCUACACAGGCUGGUUUUUUUUUUGGAUACGCUGGACUCUGGAUUCUCUCCUAGAAGGGACAUGGCGAGCCAACCAACUGAUCAUCUGGAUUUGAGCUGAAGAGGACGCCAUCUUCUUCAUCUGUCAUCCUUUUGGUGUGGUAGGAUUGAGAAAAACUCAGAAAGAUUGAAAAGGGACAGUAUUUAUUCUUUUCCUUCCUUGGAAAGCAAGAGACAUUUUAUUUUUUAAAGGGUGCACCAGACUUAAAAGACAAUUUAAAAGAAAACAAACUGAAGGCCGGCCAUAUAAGAAUAAGAAGAUUAGAGAUAUCAUAAGAGUGCUAAUUUUUCUGUGUGU